GAGAGUUUGAUCCUGGCUCAGGACGAACGCUGGCGGCGUGCUUAACACAUGCAAGUCGAACGAUGAUGCCCAGCUUGCUGGGCGGAUUAGUGGCGAACGGGUGAGUAAUACGUGAGUAACCUGCCCUUGACUCUGGGAUAAGCCUGGGAAACUGGGUCUAAUACUGGAUACUACCUCUUACCGCAUGGUGGGUGGUGGAAAGGGUUUUACUGGUUUUGGAUGGGCUCACGGCCUAUCAGCUUGUUGGUGGGGUAAUGGCUCACCAAGGCGACGACGGGUAGCCGGCCUGAGAGGGUGACCGGCCACACUGGGACUGAGACACGGCCCAGACUCCUACGGGAGGCAGCAGUGGGGAAUAUUGCACAAUGGGCGGAAGCCUGAUGCAGCGACGCCGCGUGAGGGAUGACGGCCUUCGGGUUGUAAACCUCUUUCAGUAGGGAAGAAGCGAGAGUGACGGUACCUGCAGAAGAAGCGCCGGCUAACUACGUGCCAGCAGCCGCGGUAAUACGUAGGGCGCAAGCGUUGUCCGGAAUUAUUGGGCGUAAAGAGCUCGUAGGCGGUUUGUCGCGUCUGCUGUGAAAGCCCGGGGCUCAACCCCGGGUCUGCAGUGGGUACGGGCAGACUAGAGUGCAGUAGGGGAGACUGGAAUUCCUGGUGUAGCGGUGAAAUGCGCAGAUAUCAGGAGGAACACCGAUGGCGAAGGCAGGUCUCUGGGCUGUUACUGACGCUGAGGAGCGAAAGCAUGGGGAGCGAACAGGAUUAGAUACCCUGGUAGUCCAUGCCGUAAACGUUGGGCACUAGGUGUGGGGGACAUUCCACGUUUUCCGCGCCGUAGCUAACGCAUUAAGUGCCCCGCCUGGGGAGUACGGCCGCAAGGCUAAAACUCAAAGGAAUUGACGGGGGCCCGCACAAGCGGCGGAGCAUGCGGAUUAAUUCGAUGCAACGCGAAGAACCUUACCAAGGCUUGACAUUCACCGGACCGCCCCAGAGAUGGGGUUUCCCUUCGGGACUGGUGGACAGGUGGUGCAUGGUUGUCGUCAGCUCGUGUCGUGAGAUGUUGGGUUAAGUCCCGCAACGAGCGCAACCCUCGUUCUAUGUUGCCAGCACGUGAUGGUGGGGACUCAUAGGAGACUGCCGGGGUCAACUCGGAGGAAGGUGGGGAUGACGUCAAAUCAUCAUGCCCCUUAUGUCUUGGGCUUCACGCAUGCUACAAUGGCCGGUACAAAGGGUUGCGAUACUGUGAGGUGGAGCUAAUCCCAAAAAGCCGGUCUCAGUUCGGAUUGAGGUCUGCAACUCGACCUCAUGAAGUCGGAGUCGCUAGUAAUCGCAGAUCAGCAACGCUGCGGUGAAUACGUUCCCGGGCCUUGUACACACCGCCCGUCAAGUCACGAAAGUUGGUAACACCCGAAGCCGGUGGCCUAACCCCUUGUGGGAGGGAGCCGUCGAAGGUGGGACUGGCGAUUGGGACUAAGUCGUAACAAGGUAGCCGUA
rnacentral:rRNA from 1 species